rnacentral:misc_RNA from 1 species
UGUGGGAGCUGGCUUGCCUGCGAUAGGAUCGCCUCGGUGUAUUUGGCAGACCGAGUUAAUCCUAUCGCAGGCAACCCAGCUCCCACA